rnacentral:lncRNA from 1 species
UUUUUGAUCACGCUAUCAAAAUAUAGUUAGAUGUCUGAAAUAGUAACGAUCAAACACGUAAAGCGCUAAGUUUCGCACUUCUUUUUGAAGUUAUAUCUCUUUUCGUUGGCUAUCAAAUACGAAAACUAGAUGGCGUGGUUGUUCCCCCAAAUAAUGGCUGAUUGCUUGUAACUAGUGAAAUCGAUGUCUGUUAAUUUUCUUAACUGUGUGUGGUGUGCUUUAAAGAAAUAUCCAUCUAAAAAUUAACGGCUGUCUUUCAUAUGUGACAGUUCCAAUUGUUAUCAGCUAUGCAAGCUGCUCAGCUAGGAAAUUGCUGGCUAUCUAUACUUUUGCUUUUUAUCAUGCCAUUUACUCAUGUAAAAGGCUUGUUGUACUUAACGCUGGAGCUUGAAUGCUUGAUACUGAAGCUUGAAUGUCAACAGUUUUCAUCUAAUUAGUGUUAUCGGACAUUGAUGAUCAAUGUUUUAUGUAAACAAUCUACUCUAUUUUGCAUGCAAGAAAAAUUGGCUUUAGCACCACUGCAUUACGGUGAACCAUGAGCGGGAGUGUGACUAGUUCAACUUCGUGUUCCAACUUUGACCGUCGUCUUCAUCUUUGUGACUAAACCGACCAACAUUCACCUACCUGAACGUCGUCGCUUCAUUAUGAGAUUGCCAACGGUAAACAAAUAAUUCCUGAUCUUCCCCUUUUCUUCCGCCUCAUCAUCUUCAUCUCAUCGUCUUCAAGCUGGUCGUCUUUGCCUCACAGCUUUUAACCUGGUCGUCUUCGCUUCGCCGCCUUUAACCUGGUCGUCUUCGCUUCGCCGCCUUCUAACCUGGUCGUCUUUGCCUUACCGUUUUCGCCUGACCUUCUCCAUCUCAUCGAUUUGUCGCAUCUUCUUGGAUCUCGCCUGCCUUCGCCUCAUCGCCGUCGUCGUGGAGCCUCGUGUUUUUGGUAUGGUUUUGUAUUGUAUUGUAUUGUUGUAUAGUGUAUGUUGUAAGUUAACCCGUUGGCUGCCACCCAUUUUGCUCCCCUUUUUUUUUUAGUUGUAGGGACCGGCGGCGCUGUUCUGCCCCAUGGCUGAUCGACCAUGGGGUGGGGCAGUCGCCUUGCGCCUUAGGGCGCCGUAGGCAAUGCACCAGUAGGGACUUCCCCUUGUCGAUGCGAUGGUGGAGUACCUGGGGUGUGCAUUCCCGUAAAGGUCUCCAUUGUCAAGUCAGCCCGGACUUGUUUUCGGACAAGUCCCCCUUUCAUCGAAUCCCUCAGAAACGAUGCGUAGCGACUGUAGUAGAACAACCUACGGGUUGUGAUGGCUUGGCAGCCAACGGGUUAACUUAGUGUUUGUGUAUAUGUGUAUGUAUGUAUUGUAUAACUUGUAAUGUAUUGUAUAACAUGUAAUGUAAAAUAGUGGUGGAAUUGUGGGUGGAGGUGGGAUAAUACAAAAUCAAUUCCUUUUA